UACGUAGGGGGCAAGCGUUGUCCGGAAUUACUGGGCGUAAAGGGCGCGUAGGCGGCGCGAUAAGUUGGGCGUGAAAGGCCCGGGCUCAACCCGGGGACUGCGCUUGAUACUGUCGCGCUGUGAGUCCGGGAGAGGAUGGCGGAAUUCCCAGUGUAGAGGUGAAAUUCGUAGAUAUUGGGAAGAACACCGGUGGCGAGGACGGCCGAUCUGGACCGGCACUGACGCUGAGGCGCGAAAGCGUGGGGAGCAAACAGG
rnacentral:rRNA from 1 species